UACGUAGGGGGCAAGCGUUGUCCGGAUUUAUUGGGCGUAAAGAGCGUGUAGGCGGCUAGGUAGGUCCGUUGUGAAAACUCGAGGCUCAACCUCGAGACGUCGAUGGAAACCAUCUAGCUAGAGUCCGGAAGAGGAGAGUGGAAUUCCUGGUGUAGCGGUGAAAUGCGCAGAUAUCAGGAAGAACACCCGUGGCGAAGGCGGCUCUCUGGUACGUGACUGACGCUGAGGAGCGAAAGCGUGGGGAGCGAACAGG
rnacentral:rRNA from 1 species